AUAAAGGGAAAACGGACUCACUAGGAGGACCUAGACUCUUUCAGCUUGAACUGUUAACCAAUGGUGGAAAUGCAAGAAUGCUGAAGUUGUUCCUUCGGAGCCAAUAGAGUGGAUUUGUGUGUCCCACAUGACUGUGUUUCCCCUGUCUUUCACAUGGGCAGUAUUUAGUUCAAUUCAGAACUGCAGAUAGUAUAGCGUGCAGAGCAGCAAUGGGAUGUCUGAGCACAAGUGGCUGACUUCCAGGCGACUUCAGGAAGCACAUUUUUACAUUUCUCCUGAAUUAAACUGGGAUUCUGCACCCUUGACAUCCUCCUACCCUCCUUGUCUCUGCAGGAGGAGACAGCGACCUGCACAGCACAACGAAACUAUUGCUUAAAAACAAAUGCAGAAGUUUGCUGCGAGGCAAAUGGAAGUUGGGCACCUUUGCCUUCCAGAGGUGGUAACUCUACCUUUCACUGAGAUUAGCAAAAUCUACAAAGUCUCUCUUCAAAACAAACGACAAAUCACCACAGAGCUGCAGACCAGCAAAUGAAGUGAACUGAGGGCAAUUUGACCAACUUCAUCCAAGUCGAUUCCCCAGAAGUUGAUGAAACGUGUUAUCGGGUCUCCAAGAAUACCACAAGCCUCGCAAGGUGCCUGUAUGAAAGGAACACACUUGGGCCAAACCAUCCCGUCAAUAUUAAACAAAGCACAGCCCAGUUCUGGCAUUCUUUCUUCUCUGAAGAAUUCUCAUGCCAGGUAGUUGAAAAUAACUUGCUUAUUUCUUUGCUGUUGAAUUAUUAUUUUUUUCUAGCAUCCCCCUUUAAGCACUAUUUACAUUUUAAGAUUCUGGAAAGAUAUCUGCUGCUUCUAAAGGGCCACAUAAGAUGCAGCUGCUCCACCACACUAUGGGUGAAGGAGAGGCCUGGUUAUGGGGACCCCCACACCUUCUCUCUCUCACAUAGCGAAGUAAACUCC
rnacentral:lncRNA from 1 species